rnacentral:rRNA from 1 species
GUAGGUGGCAAGCGUUGUCCGGGAAUUAUUGGGGCGUAAAGCGCGCGCAGGCGGUUCUUUAAGUCUGAUGUGAAAGCCCACGCCUCAACCGUGGAGGGUCAUUGGAAACUGGAGAACUUGAGUACAGAAGAGGAAAGCGGAAUUCCACGUGUAGCGGUGAAAUGCGUAGAGAUGUGGAGGAACACCAGUGGCGAAGGCGGCUUUCUGGUCUGUAACUGACGCUGAGGCGCGAAAGCGUGGGGAGCAAACAGGAUUGGAUACCCUGGUAGUCCACGCCGUAAACGAUGAGUGCUAAGUGUUAGGGGGUUUCCGCCCCUUAGUGCUGCAGCUAACGCAUUAAGCACUCCGCCUGGGGAGUACGGCCGCAAAGGCUGA